GCGGGCGUGGCGAAAUGGCAGACGCGGCAGGUUUAGGUCCUGUUGGUGGCAACACCGUGGGGGUUCAAGUCCCUUCGCCCGCA
rnacentral:tRNA from 1 species